rnacentral:rRNA from 1 species
UACGGGAGGCAGCAGUGGGGAAUAUUGCACAAUGGGCGCAAGCCUGAUGCAGCCAUGCCGCGUGUAUGAAGAAGGCCUUCGGGUUGUAAAGUACUUUCAGCGGGGAGGAAGGCGAUGCGGUUAAUAACCGCGUCGAUUGACGUUACCCGCAGAAGAAGCACCGGCUAACUCCGUGCCAGCAGCCGCGGUAAUACGGAGGGUGCAAGCGUUAAUCGGAAUUACUGGGCGUAAAGCGCACGCAGGCGGUCUGUUAAGUCAGAUGUGAAAUCCCCGGGCUUAACCUGGGAACUGCAUUUUGAAACUGGCAGGCUUGAGUCUUGUAGAGGGGGUAGAAUUCCAGGUGUAGCGGUGAAAUGCGUAGAGAUCUGGAGGAAUACCGGUGGCGAAGGCGGCCCCUGGGACAAAGCUGACGCUCAGGUGCGAAAGCGUGGGGAGCAAACAGGGAUUAGGAUACC